ACCAAAACUGCUGGCUGUAAAGUCACAACUGCUGGCUGUAGAACCACAACUGCUGGCUGAGAAGCCAUAACUGCUGGCUGUAGAACCAAAACUGCUGGUUGUAGAACCACAACUGCUGUCUUUAGAGCCACAACUGCUGUCUGAAGAACCACAACUGCUAGUUGAAGAACCACAACUGCUGUCUGUAGAGCCACAACUGCUGGCUCAGGAACCACAACUGCUGGCUUUAGAGCCACAACUGCUGGCUGAAGAACCACAACUGCUGGUUGUAGAACCACAACCGCUGGCUGAAGAACCACAACUGCUGGCUGAUAAGCCACAACUGCUGUCUGAAGAACCACAACUGCUGGCUGAGAAGCUAUAACUGCUGGCUGUAAAGCCACAACUGCUGGCUGAGAAACCACAACUGCUGGUUGUAAAGCCACAACUGCUGACUGUAGAACCACAACUGCUGGCUCAGGAACCACAACUGCUGUCUGAAGAACCACAACUGCUGUCUAAAGAACCACAACUGCUGGCUGAGAAGCCACAACUGCUGGCUGAAGAACCACAACUGCUGGCUGUGAAGCCACAACUGCUGGCUGUAGAACCACAACUGCUGGCUGAGAAGCCAUAACUGCUGGCUGUAGAACCACAACUGCUGGCUGAGAAGCCACAACUGCUGUCUAAAGAACCACAACUGCUGGCUGUGAAGCCACAACUGCUGGCUUUGGAGCCACAACUGCUGGCUGUAGAACCACAACUGCUGGCUGAGAAGCCACAACUGCUGUCUGAAGAACCACAACUGCUGGCUUUGGAGCCACAACUGCUGGCUGAGAAACAACAACAGCUGGCUGUGGAACCACAUUUACUGGCUGUAGAACCACAACUGCUGGCUUUAGAGCCACAACUGCUGGCUGAGGAACCACAACUGCUGUCUGUAGAACAACAACUGCUGUCUGUAGAACCACAACUGCUGGUUGUAGAACCACAACUGCUGGUUGUAGAACCACAACUGCCUGUCAGACCAUCGGACCAGAACCACAGGAAGCUCCAGCACAUCGUACACUGUGUUGUAAAUGACAGUAGAUGAGAGGAGACUAUUAGACCAGCACCAGCGCAUCAUGUGUCACACAUCAGCUCUACAUCAACUUCUGCUGCUCAAAUAUCCUCACCAGUGCAGUCCAACAACCACAGAAGAUCCCUGUCCAUGGUAUUAAAGAGAUGAUCUUGAGGAGACCCCCCAGAUCUUCAGUCACGUGGACUGUAGUCUGUUUCAUUUAAACACCAAUAAACUUGAAUUCUAGACAUUUCA